AUACGGAGGGUGCAAGCGUUAUCCGGAUUCACUGGGUUUAAAGGGAGCGUAGGUGGGUUGGUAAGUCAGUGGUGAAAUCUCCGAGCUUAGCUUGGAAACUGCCAUUGAUACUAUCAAUCUUGAAUACUGUGGAGGUAAGCGGAAUAUAUCAUGUAGCGGUGAAAUGCUUAGAUAUGAUAUAGAACACCGAUAGCGAAGGCAGCUUACUACGCAGUUAUUGACACUGAGGCUCGAAAGCGUGGGGAUCAAACAGGAUUAGAUACCCUGGUAGUCCACGCUCUAAACUAUGGAUACUCGACAUCAGCGAUACACAGUUGGUGUCUGAGCGAAAGCAUUAAGUAUCCCACCUGGGAAGUACGUCCGCAAGGAUGAA
rnacentral:rRNA from 1 species